GGGGAUGUAACUCAGUGGUAGAGUGCUUGCUUUGCAUGCAAGAAGCCUCGGGUUUGAUCCCCGACAUCUCCA
rfam:Neocallimastix californiae strain G1 LY90scaffold_504, whole genome shotgun sequence.